rnacentral:tRNA from 1 species
GCUCCCUUAGUUCAGUCGGUAGAACGGCGGACUGUUAAUCCGUAUGUCGCUGGUUCAAGCCCAGCAGGGAGCG